AAGAAAAACAAAUCGAAUUGAAAUCUCUCAAAAUGAAAGGGAACUAUGGCGCAAAUAGACCAAUUGAUAAAAAAUGCGCGGAUCCUUAGCUUUACUCUUUUACUCAACAACGGCAAGUCAAGCAGUCACAGAAGGAAUUCGAAAAACCAAAAAAACAAAGAAAAAGGAAAACGACCAAAACGAAGGUAUGAUUUGGAAUCACCUUUCAUUUUCUUUCUCUGAAUUUUUUUGAUUUCUUUUACUGCUUCCGUGUAAACAUUUACAGUAUUCCAAUGGCUCUUUUUUAGCCAAAUUUACAGAAAAAUAAAAUAAAAAAUAAAAAUAAAACAAAAUAAAUAAAAUGAAAUUCACUCAAAUCCCAUUUGUUAUUCUGUUACUGCUUGCUUUCGUGUGUAUUUGCAGGAAUUCGGCCAGCCUGGAACAACAGACGAAGGCACACCCGUGUGAGGAAGAUGCACACGCGAGGUCUGUGUCGGGCUCGUCUACGGCGCAAAAGCAGCAGUCUGCUGUUGCUGCUACACCGGAACAAUCUAGAAACCCCUAGGGUUUCUGAAUUUGGGUCGUUUGGGCCAUUAUAAUUGGGUUAUUUUUCGGAUUUUGUAAUUUAAUUUGGACCAAAUUAGUUUCGGGUUUGUAAGUGGACUUUUAUUGGAAAUUUAAUUUUUAUUUGUUUUAUUUAUUUUAAAAUUGUUUUUUUAUUUCUGAUUUGGGCGCCGGGCAAAGUGGGCCUAUUACAGUUGUGUCAGACUUAUGGGGUCCUACCCAUGUGUCAUCAGAGUGGUGUUUGUACUAUAUUACCUCCUUUUAUGCUUAUAGUCGAUAUACCUAGAUUUACCUACUAAGGAAAAAGUCGGAGGCUGUUGAAAUAUUUGUUCAAUUUCAAAAUUUUGUUCAAGUACAAUUUAAUUCCAAGAUUAAGAUGUUCCA
rnacentral:lncRNA from 1 species